rnacentral:lncRNA from 1 species
CCAGCCUCCUGAGUAGCUGGGACUACAGGCAUGUGCCACCACGCCUGGCUAAUUUUUGUAGAGACAGGGUUUUGCCAUGUUGCCCAGGGGAGUUUGGGCAGCAGUCAGGGGGACAGAAGGUAUCUUUGAGGUGGCAUCAUGGCCCUCUCUGGGCUCCAUCCCAUGUGGAAGCCGCUGUCCAUAAAGGCCUGAAUUUUUGCCACUGAAAGGCCCAUCCUACCCAUAAACCCUUUAAUCAAGGAGAACCAGCUGUUAGCCAAAAUGAAAAAAUAGAACCACAUACUGUGAAAUGAACAAGUUCAGUUAGAAUGUUCAUCAGGAUUUGGAAUUCACAGACCGCUAUUCACAGGCCUCCACCACCAAGAAAUUAAUUCAUUAAUAAUACAUCAGGCUUCAUGGACAAUUCAAAGGAAAUAACACAAAGCUACUUGUUCAAUGACUGCCUAAAGAUGCAGAAUUUUUCCUGGUUAAAAAAUCCCCACAAAUCUAAUUGACUUACUAAAUCAAAAUUAUGGGGAUGUUUAUGUUAAUAUUUUGGUUAGUAAAAAAGAAGAAAUGGAUAAGGUCUAUUGGCUGAAUUCACUCAGUGCCACUUGGAAAUAAUAAAAAUAUAGAUUUUUUUCAGCAAUAGUUAAUAAAAUCUAAUUUUAUAUAAUUGUGUGUUUAAAAAAACUUUUGGAACAGGCCAUCCUUGGGAUGCUGGGAAUAGGAGUGGGAUGGUGUUCCUUUUACUUCUUGCUAACUUCAGAAGCCAGAGUCAUGGUAAAGUCUCUAAGGUAAAAGAUGAGUGGAUA